AAUCAAAAUCCCGAAGCUUUUCCCUUUCUACUAUUUCCCAGGAUCUGCACUUUCUCUCGGCACAGCUUCGAAACGUCGUAACAUGGGAGCCCUUAGCGCCCUGAACACCAGGAAGGCGUGCAGCGGGACCAGCGCUCGGGGACUUCACAGGCAUUCGGGCUCCGAAUUCCAUGACGAGUCUCACGUAUCACACUUCCCUCAAGAAUGUGAGCAGAUCCUGUGCCCUAGAGGAGUCAACUGAUUGCUCACAGAGGACCUUACAUCCUGGAUCUUCCUGGUUGCCAUUGCAUGCUUACACGGUUGAUAAAGGAGAGACUAACCCAUUGGAGAUGGAAAGCCAGGAAUAUUUCUGCUAAAUUUGACAUUUGCACCUCACAUCAUUAUUGGAUGCAGGGUUACUUUCACUGCAAACCCCACUGAAAUCAAUAGGAUGUAUUGAUGGUAUUGAGCCCUGGAAAUUACCUUUUGAUGAAACAUCUUUACAACAUGAAACGGAUCUUCAUGAUAUCUCUCUGCAGUAGAUAGUGUCACUAGAUCCAGUUACAGAUGAGAAAAAAGUUUAAGUGAUGUGGACAAGGUACACUCUAGAGGUAACCCAAUGCACUUGCUAGAAACAAUUCCCUUUUAUUUUAAGGUUAAAAGACAAUAAAUUGGUAAUACAUAAGCAUUGACUCUUUUCUUCUGCUGUUCACGUACCCUCAAAGAUAAAAGUCAAACUACAAUGACCACACGUGUUGUCAUUGUGAAAGCUGGAAGCCUCUAAAAAUACUGCCUGCACUAUUAGAAAAAAAACUCCUAAACCCCCUUUCAUUUAGGUCAACAUUGUCAAAGUUUUUCAGUAUAAAAUCCUUCAUAAUAAAGAGAAAUGAUAAAGAAGUAGGGAUGUGUUCAUGAGUUUAACGUAGUAUGGGCCUAUACAGGAUCAGUCCCUACAAUUCUAUAUUAGAGGAGAAAUGACGUAUAUAAGUUGCUUUUAAUCUAAUUUGCAAAAAGACUGUAAUUAAAACAUUUUCAUAUUGGAUAAAUAUUUAAAAAUACUUUGUGAAGAGCCUACUGAUACUUCCUUUUUCACUGGUGACUGAGCAUGAAGAACAGGGACAGAGUUCAUUUAAACUCUGGCACAACACAAACUUCAAAGAGUUUCAAAGGUUUAUAUCACUUUUCCCAGAUUAUAUGAACUACCAAGC
rnacentral:lncRNA from 1 species